GACGAACGCUGGCGGCGUGCUUAACACAUGCAAGUCGAACGGAAAGGCCCUGCUUUUGUGGGGUGCUCGAGUGGGGAACGGGUGAGUAACACGUGAGUAACCUGCCCUUGACUUUGGGAUAACUUCAGGAAACUGGGGCUAAUACCGGAUAGGAGCUCCUGCUGCAUGGUGGGGGUUGGAAAGUUUCGGCGGUUGGGGAUGGACUCGCGGCUUAUCAGCUUGUUGGUGGGGUAGUGGCUUACCAAGGCUUUGACGGGUAGCCGGCCUGAGAGGGUGACCGGCCACAUUGGGACUGAGAUACGGCCCAGACUCCUACGGGAGGCAGCAGUGGGGAAUAUUGCACAAUGGGCGGAAGCCUGAUGCAGCAACGCCGCGUGCGGGAUGACGGCCUUCGGGUUGUAUACCGCUUUCGCCUGUGACGAAGCGUGAGUGACGGUAAUGGGUAAAGAAGCACCGGCUAACUACGUG
rnacentral:rRNA from 1 species